rnacentral:rRNA from 1 species
UGGGGAAUUUUGGACAAUGGGGGAAACCCUGAUCCAGCCAUCCCGCGUGUGCGAUGAAGGCCUUCGGGUUGUAAAGCACUUUUGGCAGGAAAGAAACGUCAUGGGUUAAUACCCCGUGAAACUGACGGUACCUGCAGAAUAAGCACCGGCUAACUACGUGCCAGCAGCCGCGGUAAUACGUAGGGUGCAAGCGUUAAUCGGAAUUACUGGGCGUAAAGCGUGCGCAGGCGGUUCGGAAAGAAAGAUGUGAAAUCCCAGAGCUCAACUUUGGAACUGCAUUUUUAACAACCGGGCUAAAGUGUGUCAGAGGGAGGUGGAAUUCCGCGUGUAGCAGUGAAAUGCGUAGAUAUGCGGAGGAACACCGAUGGCGAAGGCAGCCUCCUGGGAUAACACUGACGCUCAUGCACGAAAGCGUGGGGAGCAAACAGG